rnacentral:lncRNA from 1 species
UCUGGGGAUAUGAUUGGUUAAUGUGCUACACGUGGUGACUAUGUAUAUUUGAUAUAGGGUGUCCUAAAAAAUACAUGGUUAGUUACCAUAUAGGCUUAGCAACCAUAUGGGGUAAUAUAAGGAGUUACUUCCCUUUCAAAACAAAACAAAUGCUACAACCCUUUAUAAGAACAACACAGUGUUGAGGAAUAAUCUGAAAGGAUUCAACAGACGAAGAAAUUGAUGAUGAAAGGUUGAAAUAAGUUCAUAAAACAAUUAAAGUUAACAAGUUUUUGUUGGCAUACCGGAGUUACUUCCCUUUCAAAACAGAAAAAGAAAUCUGAAAGGAUUCAACAGAAAAAGAAAU